rnacentral:rRNA from 1 species
UUUACCCCACGGGAGGCAGCAGUGAGGAAUAUUGGUCAAUGGGCGGGAGCCUGAACCAGCCAAGUCGCGUGAGGGAAGACGGUCCUAUGGAUUGUAAACCUCUUUUGUCGGGGAGCAAAGAGGCCACGUGUGGUCAAAAGCGAGAGUACCCGAAGAAAAAGCAUCGGCUAACUCCGUGCCAGCAGCCGCGGUAAUACGGAGGAUGCGAGCGUUAUCCGGAUUUAUUGGGUUUAAAGGGUGCGCAGGCGGAUUUUUAAGUCAGCGGUCAAAUCGUGGGGCUCAACCCCAUCCAGCCGUUGAAACUG